AUUGAACGCUGGCGGCAUGCUUUACACAUGCAGGUCGAGCGGCAGCGCGGGGGCAACCCUGGCGGCGAGCGGCGAACGGGUGAGUAAUGCAUCGGAACGUAUCCUCGAGUGGGGGAUAACCCAGCGAAAGUUGGGCUAAUACCGCAUGAGCUCUGAGGAGGAAAGCGGGGGACCUGCGAGGGCCUCGCGCUGGAGGAGCGGCCGAUGUCCGAUUAGCUAGUUGGUGGGGUAAAGGCUUACCAAGGCGACGAUCGGUAGCUGGUCUGAGAGGAUGAUCAGCCACACUGGGGCUGAGACACGGCCCAGACUCCUACGGGAGGCAGCAGUGGGGAAUUUUGGACAAUGGGGGCAACCCUGAUCCAGCCAUGCCGCGUGAGUGAAGAAGGCCUUCGGGUUGUAAAGCUCUUUCGGACGGAACGAAAUGGGCGGGACUAAUACUCCUGUCUGAUGACGGUACCGUAAGAAGAAGCACCGGCUAACUACGUG
rnacentral:rRNA from 1 species